CACAGUGGGGCACCUUGUAUGGGAGACCGGAAAAAACUCAAUUAAGACUAAACUACUGAACCAAUUUUCAUGAAAUUUGCAGGAAAGGUAGCUUAUAGCAAGACAAACCUACAUCCAUGACCACCCAUUGCCACGUCCACUCAGAAAAAAAUUAUAUUAAAAAAUCUGAAAACAAGUUUUUUCUGCUGUAAAUGACUUACUUCCAAUCACUUUUUUACUAGCAAAAUCAAAUUCUUUUGAGUUUAUUAGAACAUUUUAUUGAUAAAUACCGUUUAAAUUUUACAAAAAUCAAAAAAAAAAAAUCUAAAAUUUUCAAAAAAGGAAAAAUGUCCAAAAACGCGGAACAUUCCAUCAAAUCAUUCUAUCUUUUUUUGGAGACAAGUGGAAAAAAGAUAAGAGAGGCUUCAAAUAACCAGUUUUACUGUAUUCCGAUUCCGAUAGUUAUACCUAAAUAAAGUCAAAAAAGUGGAUUAGUGAAAAAAA